rnacentral:lncRNA from 1 species
GUAAGUAGUUGAAAACCAUCUCUGUCUCACAUGCUCUGCUCUAGGACUCAUUUCUAUUCUUUGUUGUAUGCAUUAUUGCUUUUUGGAUGUUAGCAGGGACUGGGGAGGCAUAGCUGCAACUUGUCUUCAGAGUUCUAUAGGCAGGUGAGACCUCCAGGGACUACACCCUGAGAGCUGCUGCCUGACAUCCCUUUCUGGUGAGAUGAGAUAGAGGGACUAUGUGUAGAGAUAGCAUCCAUCUCAGCUUCCUUGGUCUGCUUCAAUGCCAUAAGCUAUGCUAAAUAAACUGCAGGUGAUCCAAGAAGCUCUACUCAAGCUUCACUGAGCAACGAUGACAUCCUGGCAUGCAAAGCUGGUCUUUGCUUGCAGUGGAAACAGUUCUCAUGAUUGUGCAAAAUCUUGUGUUUGGUGGAUAUAAUGAUAAUGAACUAAUUUGUGUCAACAGAUUUCUUUAUGACCUUGUUGUUUUUCCCUUUUCUUUUGCCCACCUUGUGCUUUCUUAAUUUGUAUGGAGGCAGGGGAGAGAAAUCCUAUUGAUAAGCACUUUGUCUGUAGAGCCAGGGCUCCAGUUAAGGCUAACAAACUCUAUGUUGCUCUGCCUGGGGACAAGAAUUCCCCAUGUGAAAAGCCUAACAUGAGAGAGUGGUUCUCUGGAGCUUAAUGGGAUGCAGUGCAUGUAUGAAGUCACUGAUGAACAUCAAUGUUUUCAGAAGCAAUUUUCAACAAGGAUCCAUCUUUUUGAAGGCAUACAAAAUGGAUUUCUCCUUUUUUAUUGCUUUUGAAUAUCCUACUGCAAGGCUGCUGCUCUUCAGUUGUGGAUGUAUGCUUGAGUUUAGAGUCAUUUUACUCCUCUUGAUCCUUCUCAUUCACAAGGACUCUGCCUAUUCAGGUGUGCCUCGGGUAAGCGAUGCUGAACAGCUGUGGUAAUCAUAUUAUGAGGCUGUGUUUUAACCUUUCUUUUAGCUCUUGUGUGCUGUGAGAAUUACAGCAAACUGGGCUGCGAUAGAAACGCUGCAAAAUGGAAGUUGAGAGGAGAACUUCUUCAGUAAAAGGAAAAGGGUAGGGGAAGGGUUGCAGGAGAGAAGGAGAUUUGAACAAAAUCUCCAGAUUCAGCCUCUAAAGAGGAGGGGUAGUGGAAGCUAAUGCAGUGAAAUGAGCUGUAACAAAGCCAUGCCAGGAAUUAUUCAGCUGUUCACAAGAAUUUUAGAAGAACUGUAAUUGGGAAAUGAUGUGAAUAUCAAACAAAAUGUCACUUGCUGGAAGCCUCACAAGGAGGGGGAAAUAAAAUGAUGAAAGUGCUGCAUUACAUGUCACCCUCUUAGGCACGCUCUGAAAGAGUUCCCUGCUCCCCACUUAGACCCUUUGACAUGCUAUUGUGUGGCUUUGUGUACUUCUGAGCGGGGUGGUUCUCUGCAGAAGAAAUUAAAAUGACGGGAAAGCUGGCUUGUCACAUUAAAUAACAUCACAUGCUUUUCUGCUGGGGAGAAAAACAGAAAGAAAUACUCUGCUGAGUUCCAGGAAAAUAGCUGCUGAGGAAAUGAGUGUGGCAACUCCGUCCCCUCACCUGGAAAGUAACAGUUGUGCCAGUAUGGGGAAGCACUGGCAGGGCUCAUGGCAGACCCGAGUUUCUGCUGUUUGCUGCAGACUUGAUGUCCACAUCACAGAUCUCUCUGGCUGUCCAUAAUGACCUUCCAGCCUAAAUGCUGGUUUUCUAUUUUACUUUCUUAACAUUUGAAGUGCAUUUCUAAAUACUGGGAAGAUUUGCCACCAGCAUUUCCUGCUUUUGUUUAUUGAUUUCUUCUUUUUCUCCAAAUUCCCUGCCUGUCCUUCUUUGGAAACAUGUCCUCUUGGAAGCACCAUCACGGCUGGAUUGCACCGUGAGGUCCCCAUGGUGUUCUCUUUGGCACUCACAGUAGUGUUUCCAUUUGGAUGACCUAUGUGUUCUUGGUCUCUUUGAUUUAGUGCAACCCUUUGUGCAGAAACACGGAGAAACAUCCCUCUACACAUAGAAAUGGAAUCAUUAAGGCUGGGAAGGACCACUAAGAUCAUCUAGUCCCACCAUCCACCUACCACCAAUAUUGCCCACUAAACCUUGUACCUAUGUACCACAUCCACAUGCUUCUUGAACACCUCCAGGGAUGGUGACUCUACCACCUCCCUGGGCAGCCUGUUCCAGUACCUCAUCACUCUUUCUGAGAAGAAAUUUUUCCAAACUAUCCAAUUUGAACCACACAUUGUGCAAUUUACAGCCAUCCCUUCUUGUCUUGUCUCAUGGAGACCAGGGCAGUCACUGAGCCCUGAGUUUGGGAAGAGGAGGAGGCAUUGGCCAGAUCUGCUCUGAGCUUUACCCAAGUGAAAGGAGAAGAUGAAAAGGUGGGGGAGAAGGGAGAAGGUGAGAACUCUGUGGAGGAGGUCACAAGGUCUGUGACUGAGAAGUCAUGAAAAGCGCUCCUAUUUUAGUUAGGAUUUCUCAGUGGUCUCUCUCUCAUAUCUGCAGUCACCAGGAUCUUAGAGGGUAAUAUGGCUUUCCUUUGGCUUUGGUGCUGGGGCUCUAUUGGGGAAAAGGUAUCUCAAUACAGUGCUGUAAAAAAGUGAGUUAUCAGAAAUAUAUAUAAAAAAUCAUAGUGACAAUCCAAACACUGUUACACACCCAUCAUGUUUAGGUGAUUUUUUAGGAAACUCUUCUGGCAAACAAUUUUAAGAGCUGGAAUAGGCAUUCCUAUCUUUCUCUAUAAACCACUUCGAAUAUUUACCAAUUUAUUUCUUAAGAUAAUGCUUCUAAAGAGCAAAACACUCAAAGCCCUCUUGCAUUUUUGCCUCACCUGCAUGUCUUCCCAUGUAGACCUGGGAGACACUUGCUAGCUUUAAAAGAAGGAAAAAGUAAAGAAAAGCACUAUCUUGCAGUGAGCUGUAGAGCCUGAGGCCUCAAAGUAAGAUUUUAAGAUUUCACUCUGGUUUCUCCUAAUCUGUCUUUGAAUGUGUUUUUCUGUUUGUUUUCUAUCUAUCUAUAUUUAACAUUUUGUUGCUAUUUCCAGUUAGAGAAGUGUUGUGUCUGAACAGGGACACAGUUACCACAAAACAUGUGCGCAAGCACAGGACUGUGAGUGGACACAGCUCUGUACUUGGCUGCUGGUGUUGGUUUAUGUAGCAGCAGGGGUACAUAUAUAACCUCAAAGCAGGUGUGGUGGAGCAUUCUGCAUGGUUAAACCCAAGCUGUAAUUCCCAGCUGAAGUAUCAGAGGGGAGGUGGUCAGAAGGAGAUGGAGUAGCUCUGGGAAGUGAAUUGGUCUGUCAUUACAUCAAAGGAGGGUCAGACUGGGGAUUAGGAAAAGGUUCUUCACCAGAGGGUGGUCAGGCAUGGAACAGGCUCUCCAGAGCAAUGGGCAUGGCACCAAGCUGCCGGAGUUCAGGAAGUGUCUAGACAACAAUUUCAGACAUAAGGAUUGUUUGGGUGGUGAGACACUGGAACAGGUUGCCCAGCGAGGUUGUGGAUGUCCUCUUCCUGGAAGCAUUCAAGGCCAGGCUGGAUGGGACUUUGAGCAACGUGGUCUAGUGCAAGAUGUCACUGCUUAUAGAAGGGUGGUUGGAACUAGAUGAUCCUAAAGGUCCCUUCCAUCCCAAACCAUUCUAUGGUUCUUGGUUGGCCCUGUGAGGAGCCAAGAGUUGAACUCAGUGAUCCCUAAGGGUCCCUUCCAUUUUGAGAUGUUCUGUGCUUAGCGUGGAUAUUUGGAUCCCAAAAAGGGAUGCCCAGUCUAAGGGUGCUGAAGAGUAAUUUUGCAUGUAAAAGACCCGAAGAAAUAGUUUAUUCAGGGAAUAAGCACAAGCUGGUAGAAAAAAAAAAAGAACAUGCGGUAUGUGGUGCUGGUCAGCAUUAGCAGACAGCCUCAACUUCCUCAACUUGAGGAAGCUGCAGCCAGCAAGGAGCAGCAAGGCCAAUGGUCUCUCACUUUGCUUAUGUCACGCGUUGUUUAUCAAGGAAUGCAAAGCAGUGGUGCUAGAUCUUCAUGUUAUGACUCACUAACAUACACUCCAGCAGACCUUCACCCAGAAUCUUUGCCUGGGUAGUGCCCAUUUUCCCAUCCAUUAAAUUUUUUCUGUGGUUUUUUUUUUUUUUUAUUUUUUAUUUUUAUUUUUUUUUUAUUGCAGUGGUUGAUCCCUGUGGCUGAGAGCAAACCGUCAGGAUUUCAGAGAUGAGGAAGCAAACCUUCCCCAGCCACUGAGCAUUUGAAUGCGUGGGCACCACUGGACGAAGUGAAUAUUGUCACUGAGGAAGGCUUUGGACUGUGGGACCAGGUCCCAUUGAUUUAGAAUGAAAGCAUAAUACAGGCUUCAAGCCAUCUCUAAGUGUUUGGCAGCCCAUGCCUGACCGAGGAAAUAAGCACUCAGAUGACUGCUUCAGUGGGUGCCCAAGAAAACAGCAGGAUAAACUAACAAAAUGAAGGAGGGCUGUAUAGUGAAAGUGUUUGUUGUCUGGAGGACUCUGGCUUCGCUUGCUGAAGAAGGCUGAAAAUGCAUAAUGAAUGAGACAGGAUACUCCAGAAAGCCAUAAAAUGGUCUCAGAGGGCAUGUUUGAUACCUCUGUGGGGAGCUAGGUUCUGUAUCUUGCUCAGCCACAGGCUUGGUUCCUAUCCCUUGAACAGAAAAGUUUACCAUACCAUGCAUGCUUCUCAGCUUCUCAUUUUUUGUAUGUGCAAGGCACGGCAGAUGGGACUAUUUUUUUAGAGAGGUGUUACCUGCAGAUGAAGUGACCGCAGCUUUGCCUAUGGAAUGAGAUAUAAAAAAGCUCAGAGUUCUAUAAAAUGAACCAGGAUCUAAGCCUGGGUAUUAAAAAUUCAUAGAUGUUUUUCAUAGGUCUAUACUGAAAUUUCCUCCGUGUUGGUACUUUGUGUGCAACAUGAGGGCAGUAAUUCCUAAGUGUCUUAGCCAAACUGUAGAGGAAUCCUUAAUAUUUUGGAGGUACAAGAUGUUGCAGUGGAAAUAUUUGUGAGGAAAACACAAAUUUUAUGCUCGAGGAAGCAAGAUUUGGAAGGCAUGAGGUAAAUAAGGAUAAGUAAUGUGUAUUAUAGCAGCAUGCUAAAAAUAAACAGAAAUAUUUAGCCAUUCACUGAGGAAGACAAGGACGUUGUAUAAAAAUAUAGUCUACAAUCAUGUAAUUAAAGCCUGCAUUGUAAUUUGAAGAAGCUGAAGUAAAGGAGCUGUGUGGGUGGCUUUAGCUCUGUUGUCUUUGUCACUGAGUUUCUGCUUUAAUAGGUAGCUUUUCAGAUGUUGUUGGAUAUGUGACAGCGUGGUAAUAACUUCCACAACACAAGUUUAACAGUGCUCUGAAAGCAAAUAUCUUGCUUUGAAACAGGUACAUUUCACUGGACAAAAUCCUCUCUUUCAUCUCAGUGCUCCUCUAUUCUCUUCACUCCCUUCUUUGGAGAAAAGAAGGCUCCAGGGAGACCUCAUUGUGGCCUUCCAAUAUUUGAAGGGAGCCUACAAACAAGAGGGGGUAUGUCUGUUUACAAAGGUGGAUAGUCAUAGGACAAGGGGGUUUUAGAGUCUCAGUUUUAAACUGAGAUGGGGGAGGUUUAGCUUAGAUAUUAGGAGAAAGUUUUUCACUCAGAGGAUGGUGACGCACUGGAACAGGUUGUCCAAGGAGGUUGUGGAUGCCCCAUCCCUGAAGGCACUAAAGGCCAGGCUAGUGGUCUGGUAGACCCUGCACAUAGCAGGGGGUUGAAACUAGAUGAUCUUUGAGGUCCUUUUCAACCUAGGCCAUUCUAUGAUUCUCCUGUUGCCACCUCCAUGGGACACCACGCGAGGGCCAGCAGCCUUUGGUUGGCCACAGGUCCUUCUGACACCUGUGACCAGGCAUUGGAGGUUCCCUGCCUCAUCUCUGUAUCUCACAGCUCCUGGAGUGGGCUGUGACAUAAAUUCCUUGCAGGGAGUACGGUGUGAUGAGGAAGCUGUGCUGGCCACCCCACUCAGCCCCACUGCCAUACCGUCUGUGGCAACAAUGGUGUGCGGUUGCAGGAGGCAGUGAUGCUGAAUGCAGGAAACCUGACGACGGUAUAUUUUACAGCAUGGCAGCUGUAACGCAGGAUCGUAAGAAACGUUUGCAUUUUGAAAUGCUUUAUCUUCCAUUUAAGGGAUAGUGUUUCUGGCAGGGAAAGAAUAUAUAAGGGUAUUAAAUGGCUUUCUUUGCAGGCAAUUAAACAAGGAAGCCGAUCAAAGACAUUUAAAUAAUUGUAACAGAUGUUUAUUGCCUGAUGCAGUUUACUGCAUCCUAUUAUUUCUGUUACAUACAGGAGAGAAGAACACAUGGCAAACUGUACCGCAAAAGAAAUUCUUUACUGCCUUGUGAGGAACGUGGCUGCUUCUCUGCCUUCUUAAUUGUAUCAUGUUGAGAACAAGUCAGUAAUAAGUAGUGUUUGGAGGGCAGAGAAGUGGCUUACUGCCUGGAGGAGCAGCAGCAAGUGGUGUGCAAAGACAUGGGGUUGAUGGUAAACACCUUUGAGACAACAGACUGCUGUGGGAUUGCUUCAAGAGUGAUGCUCAGCUCACUCACAUUAGGAAUUUCAGUUCCUCCUGAAGUUAUGCAGUUAGUACUGAGAGGGACAUCCUGGCUCAGGACAAAAGUGUUGGUGGCACUGUAAUCCUCAGUGACAUCUGGGAAUGGCCUCAGGUGGGCAACUAGGCAUCAAUAAAAGGCAAGCAUGUGACAACUCCCCCAGAUACUCCUCAAACAUUUUUGUUGUAGGGCCAGAUGUGUUUUCUUUGUCGUUAAUAACAUAAUAACAUACUUUAGUACUGUGUGUUUAAUUCUAUGUAUUUAAAAACAGAUUUUUCUUGCCUUGAAUUUAAGUGUUCAGAAUAGCCUAUGUAGGACAGUAAGUACCCUAGAGGAACCCAUGAGCUUUUCAUCACCAAUUAAAAGAAAGGGAUGUUUGUUUCCCUAAACAAUAACAAAAAAUUCUAACAAUGAUACUCCUCCCAAUCCCAAAUCCCCAUACAAAAGCCUAUAAACAUUCAAAAUCUAGGCUAGUGUCCCUCCACUUGUUUUAUCCUUGGCUUUGACUAAAAUCUGAGGCUUUUUCAGCAAACAUCUCAUAUUUUCAAAUUCAGUAAUGACUUCAUACAUCCUACUAAUAGAAAAAAAGACUUAUUGCCAUCAUUUCAGAACACAACUGGAAUAUUCAAUAUUCCCCAUCUCCCUUCCUCCCUCUUGCUGAAAGAGGAAGACUUCAGGGAGACUCUUUCUCAGAAGGAAUAACAAUUAUUUGAUGUGUUAUUCUUCCUCUACAGAUCACACCUCUCAUCUGGGGCAGAUCUUUUCUCCUCCUUGUGUCCUGACAUCAUCAUAGGCAGCAAAGUCUGCAUUAAAGACAUGAACUAAUGACACAGGCACUGCACUCUAAGAGGUGGUUCCUUCAUGGGCAAUCCACAUUGAGGUGAUGCACAGCAGGGAAGGGAGCUGGCUCCAGCACCCAUCAGGAACUGCUGAAAGGUACUCUUGCUCCUGGGUUGUCAACACAAGAUUUAGUGUGAGUUCCUGAAAGUGUCUUAACAGGCAUAGAAAGCACUGAUUCCCUCAAGUCUGCAGAAACAUGAUGCACAGCAACCAUUAGCACUGGCUUACAUUGCAGAACAAAUUCUGUGGCAGGAUGAGCCAGGUGCUAUGAUAGCUAUGAAAUAGCUAUGAAAUAGCCAUGAUGCUAUUUCAUCUGAGUGAGAGAGGGAAUGAAUUUGGGUCCUGGGGAAGCAUAGAAAGUGGAUGUUAUGCAACUCCUGAAAGAAUCAAGAGCUGUGGCUGUAGCAACUGCCAAUAAAUAUACUCAAGUACUACUCUGCUGGGAAUAUCUACAUGAGGCAUGAAGUGUGCUUACACCAAAUUACCUGAGGACCGCAUGAUGUCAGUCACAAGGAAAACAAUGCUGUGGGUCUUGUAGAUGGUCCUCAGCCUUGCUAUGACAAGAAGGUGCUGAGUGUUUGAAUGGCUCCCAUCCACUGUGAUUGCAUGAAGACAGGUGGGUCUCUGGCCAUGCCUACUCUCAACCUGCAUGGCAUGUUGUCUGACACUGGUAAGGAGUAUCUAAAAUCUACAUGAGGCAAUCAACAUCAUUUUGUGGACAAUUUUACAUUUGAAAGCAUCUCUCUGGAGCUGUUUGUCUUCAAAACAGAGAGCCCAGGAGUGUUUAUUGCCUGUAGGCUUGGCCUGGGAGAAAAUGAAACCAGCUUGAUACUGGAGACUGGGAAAUGAUACCAUUGUAUCCUGUGAAGGCAAGAUGCAAGCUGGCAUCUCCCUGCUUCCUCUCAUCUGUAACUCCAGAAGAACUGUCUUGGACACUUUGGACUAAAAUGUUUCAAUGCUUUCAGCUCAGAGCAGCAUUUGGAGACCAAGUUUUUCUUCUGGUAAAACAUAAACUACAGCACAGAAAUAGAAGUAAAACAUUUGUUUGCUCAGCUCUAGUAACGUGGUGCCGAGGCAUGCCCGCAGGAUAAAUACCACUGGGUGGGAGAUGGGUAGGGAAAGGAGGAAGGUGAGCAAAGGAGAAUCAGUCCACCCCAGCAGUGGGAUGAGGAUCAUCAUCUCCACUUCUCAGCACAAACAGAUUUUACUAAACUUCCUGUAAGUUUGUCAAGAGUCCUCUUAGUGGUCUUUGACCUUCUGCUUGUCCUGGCCAUCUUAGAGUGUAGGAGCUCAACAAAAUCUCUCUCCUCUGCUUCCUGACUACUCAAGGCAUCCUUCCUGGAAAGAAUGAAUCACUCCCCAAGUGUCAUAGGAAAGACCAUAAGCUUUCCUUAAAGCUAAAGAAAUUCCAGUGUAAUUUCUCAGCUCCAGUGUGGGUCACUCCCUGGCACACCAGCGGCUUUCUUCAUGAACAGAAACCACUCUGCAUAAAUUGCGAUGGCAGAAAUGGGCCCGAGCAAACAAAGACAAUAUGAAUUUGGCUAAAUAAUGUAGAGACAUAAAUUUAAGGACAAAGGUGAACUGAAAAGCCUCCCAUCAGAGGUUGUCUGCACCUGCCCAUGCCAGCUCCAAAGGGGACUCUGCACCAGGGUGUCUUGCCCUUGGUCAGCUUUUCAGCUACACCCAACAAAAUCCUGUACUUCUGGAGCAUACCAGAGCAUUCCCACUUGCAGCUCCUUACCAAGUGAUAUGUGCAGAUCCCACCUUUGCCAAAUCCACUGCAAAUGUUUCCUGUUGAGACCCAGAGUCUCUCUUGGAGGCCCUGGGCCAGCUCUGGGGUCCACCUCACUGAUUGAACUCAGUGGGGUCACCCUGAGGACCAGCAGAUGGUAUCUGGCUUUUAGCUUCCUUCCAAUCUACCGUUGUCACAACUUGAAAACAAGCUAAAAACUGCUUUUCAUAAUUUCUUUCUUAGGCAAAACUCUUAGCAACAACCUUUUUGUGUGUUAGAAGGCAAUAAUCAAAUCACUCUGGCCUUUUGCUGAAGCAGAACAAAUCCAUGGCUGUGUUCCCAGCUGUAAACAAAGGUGCUGCCUCACAUUUCCCCAAGAAAAGAAGCGACUUCUACAAACGAUCACUAGAUGGCUACACUACCGCACAGGAUUUCAUAGCUCCGUUUUUCCAGACCUUCAAACCAUUUUUCACGGCCCUCGUUGUCUGUAAUAUCUUUGGUCUGAAUUGCAUUUCAGCCACAAAAUGCGAUUUCCAUAUCUUCAAUUUUCUUCUCAGCGUGUUGCAAUAUAAUUCUCCACCAUUCAAAUUUAUUGUACAAAAAAAGUCACUAGGGCUUAAAUGGCGUCUAACCUCUGAAGCGUCAGGUAUUGUCCGCCACUGGAAACAACAUCCUGGGCUACAUGCCCCAUUGGUUUGAUC